GAGAGAGAGAAUAAUAUGGUGAGAAUUAAGCUUUGAGUUAAUGCAAAAAUGUUUGAUGGACAUUCUAUAGAAAUUAAAUUUAAUAAAUAAAUAGCAGUGAAAAAAAAAGGAAGAGCAGAUUUCCACCUACUAAACAACAAUUGGAAAAUGGAGACAAUAAGAGAGAGAUCAUACUUUUCAUUGAAUCAAGGUAUAAGGUUCAACACUUCUGACAAAAUCAGACCAUCUUCUUCAUGGUCCAAUAUGGAAGGCUCCAUCCUCAUUUGCAAAGUGGUUGGUCAAAAUUCAGAUGUGAUGAACAUCAGAUUUCAAAGAGUUAGUUCCAAAAGAACACAAAACAGCCAACAACUUUAUACUGUUUUCAUGUUGAAGUAUUAAUAUUUUAGAUUACUGGAUUAAAUGAAAUGUAUUAAUUUGUAUCAUUUUAUUUUCCUUUGGAAAAAUAUUCCCUACAGGAAAUGAUGAAAUUACCUAUGUGGCUUUUGUACAGUGAUGAUCCAGAUCUUCAUUCUAUACUCUGGAAAACUAUUCACAGUUUUCUAAUUGUCUCUAUAAUACCUACUGGUUGGCGAUUGCAAUCUUAAGGACACAAUUAUAAAUAGGUACGACUAAAUAGGGAAACCCACUUUUAGUUGUCAUCAGUUAUUUGUGUGUGAACAUGUGUGUGUGGUGUCUGCAAGAAGGACUAAGCAGAAAAUAUUUCAACUGUCUGUGAUAGCUCAAAGAGUUACUCAACUCCUAGAACAGUGGAGAAGAAUCACGUGAGCAAAGCCUCACCUGGGAACAUUCUACAAUGCAGUGUCCAUCUUCAGACCCUACUUAAUCAGAAACCUGGAGGAGGCAAAAGAAAACAGAAAUCUGUGCUCUGAAAUUCAAGGUCUGCCCAGGGUUUCUGUUUUUGUGUUGAGCUGGAAACGGAUGCUGAGCAGAGCUUUCCCCGCUCUCAUCUGCUGGCAGGAAACACAUCAUGUCUCAGCACACCAGGGGAUACCCGGCGACCUGCUGAGGAGCGUGAGCUGGAGCAGUUCCUAUGACAGCAUGUGCCACUUUGCCUUAAUAAAAAUUACCAAACUAAAAACAGAUGAGAGCUGCAGAUGCUGAGAAACUGAGACCUAUAAACAAUCCCCUUUACUUGCUAAUUUUUUUUUUCUUAUUUGGUCAGGCUUUUUUUUUUUUUUGACUGGUUGAGCUGUGUGCACGUGUUUGUGUGUGUGUGUGUCUGUGCGUCCAUGUGUUAAUGAAGACUGUGACGAUACUGAUGUUUUGCACAAGGCUGCCUGCUAAAGAAAAAACUCCCUGGUGCAGUGACCAGACUGGAUUAAAUGGCAGGGUGUUCUGUUCUAGGAGAAUCCACUUCAUAUUAGUGGUCUCCUUUGAUUAUUUCUGUCUUUCUCACCAGAGAGAAUCGUGGGAACCCUGACUAUUUUCCUGAAUCUUCCUGUGUUGUGCUCAUUCCUCCAGCGUUACACUCUCAUUUCCUGUCAUCGAUCAGUCAGUAGUAUUUAUUCAAACCCUCUUGUAGGCUGAAAACCACCAUUAGAUUUUAUGAAAUACAAGACAUAGGCAGAAUGAUCCCUGCCCUUGAGAAGCAUACAGACUCACAGAGGAGAAACCAUACACAAGCAUGAAGCAACACGGCAUUUAUGAAAACAAUAACAUACCACCAUGUAGAAUGUCAUUAUAAGCUGAAUGGAUGGCAAGAAAACACAAGACAAAACAGAGCUGAGCAACAUCCAUGAAAAUGGCCUUCCCAAAAAGAUGCUGUUAACAACCCAGCUGUCUUUCAGUGGAUGAAUGUUCAAACUAACUGUGCUACAUCUCUACCAUGGAAUAUUACUGAGCAAUAAAAAGGGAAAAAACCUGAUAAUACACAAAGCAACAUGGAUCAAGCUGCAGAGAAUUAUGGGGGCCGGCACUGUGGCGCAGUUGGUUAACACCCUGGCCUGAAGCGACAGCAUCCCAUAUUGGUGCCGGUUCUAGUCCCAGCUGCUCCACUUCCGAUCCAGCUCUCUCCUAUGGCCUGGGAAAGCAGUAGAAGAUGGCCCAAAUCCUUGGGCUCCUGCACCCACGUGGGAGACCCAUAAGAAGCUCCUGGCUCCUGGCACAGCUCCGGCAGUUGCAACCAUCUGGGGAGUGAACCAUCAGACGGAAGACCUCUCUCUCUUUCUCUCUCUGCCUCUCCUCUCUCUGUGUAACUCUUUCAAAUAAAUAAAUAAAUCUUUAAAAAAUAAAAAAUUAAUCUUUAAAAAGGGGGAAGAGCAUCUCUGUGGCAUACCAGAUUAAGUGGCUGCUGCAUCACCAUCAUACCCUGUGAGUGCUGGUUGGAGUCUUGUCUGCUCCACUUCCAAUCCAGCUCCCUGCUAAUAGCCUAGGAAAGCAUCAGAGGAUGGCCCAAGUUUUUGGGCCCCUCCACCCAUGAGGAAGACCUAGAAGAAGUUCCUGGCUCCUGGCUUCAGCCUGGCACAGCCCUGGCCGUUGGACCAUCUGGGGAGUGAACCAGCAGAUGGAAGAUUCUCUCCUAUUCUGUCUGUCUCUCUCUCUCUAACUUUCAAAUAAAUAAAUAAAUAAAUCUAUCUUUAAAAAAUUAAUGGAGGGGGGAAAACUGAAGACUCUUGGAGUACUAGUAAUGUUGUGGUCUCAAUUUGGGUAUUGCUAUAAGUAUGAUCAGAGAGAAAAAACCUGAUUUAUCUGUACACAUUUAUGCAUUUCUUGGUAUGUAUACCAUAUUUCAAUAAAAUAUUAGAAAAAGAAAACUUUUAGAUUUGUAUAAAUAUAUAA